rnacentral:misc_RNA from 1 species
AGUCGCGGCCGGCGUCACCGCUGCGGCUGCCUCAGCUACUGCCGCAGUCGCCGCGGAAUUCGGCGAGUAGAACCGCUGAGGCGGGCGCGGGCCCGGGUGGGGCCAAGGUUCCGGCCACUCUGCAGAAUGGAGAUAAUCAGGAGCAAUUUUAAGAGUAAUCUUCACAAAGUGUACCAGGCCAUAGAGGAGGCCGACUUCUUCGCCAUCGAUGGGGAGUUUUCAGGAAUCAGUGAUGGACCUUCAGUCUCUGCAUUAACAAAUGGUUUUGACACUCCAGAAGAGAGGUAUCAGAAGCUUAAAAAGCAUUCCAUGGACUUUUUGCUAUUUCAGUUUGGCCUUUGCACUUUUAAGUAUGACUACACAGAUUCAAAGUAUAUAACGAAGUCAUUUAACUUCUAUGUUUUCCCGAAACCCUUCAAUAGAUCCUCACCAGAUGUCAAAUUUGUUUGUCAGGAAUUCCAUAUUUAAAUCAGGAAGAAGAAAGACAGUUAAGAGAGCAGUAUGAUGAAAAACGUUCACAGGCGAAUGGUGCAGGAGCUCUGUCCUAUGUAUCUCCUAACACUUCAAAAUGUCCUGUCACGAUUCCUGAGGAUCAAAA